UACGUAGGGGGCAAGCGUUGUCCGGAAUCAUUGGGCGUAAAGAGCGUGUAGGCGGCCCGAUAAGUCCGCUGUGAAAGUCCAGGGCUCAACCCUGGAAUGCCGGUGGAUACUGUCGGGCUCGAAUCCGGAAGAGGUGAGUGGAAUUCCUGGUGUAGCGGUGAAAUGCGCAGAUAUCGGGAAGAACACCCGUGGCGAAGGCGGCUCUCUGGGACGGUACUGACGCUGAGACGCGAAAGCGUGGGGAGCGAACGGG
rnacentral:rRNA from 1 species